AAUAUCCACAGUAAAGUAUUUUUUACCUGAGUUUUUGCGGCGCCGGUUUGUAUCAAUCUCUUGGCGCAUUGCGCGUGAUGCACAAUAUGGAAACAAUAGCCGAAUAUAACCGAAAGUUGUGACCAAAGCACUUUCCCUCGCAAUCAGCUGAAAGUGCUUGUGAUAUUUGCCAGCUGAUUGCAUGCGACAACGUUUGGUCUGUAGUACGGUUAAGCUCGGGCAAGUGUUUUGUCGCAUGCGAAUCACUUCAGAAUAGUAAACACAAAACCGGAAAUACUAGCCGCCGUACUGAAAGUCGGGUUAAUAACACUUAAUAACACGACACGAGGACAAAAACUGCUGACAACAGGUAAAGUUGCCACUUCCUGCAACGACCAGUCGGGGAUGAUACAUCACGCACUCUACUUUGCAUCCCUUCAGAGCAUAAGCUCACAAUAGCUGAGUUGAGCGGAGCUUGUUACAUGGUUGAUGUUUGUUUAUUGGAUGGGUCGAUGCCAGGAUGAAACCCGGACUGCAAUCAGGGAGACAGCAGGACGCAGCUGGGCCCUGAGUGAGGUCAUUGGAUUGACUGAGGCAACGUGCCGCUGAGACACUAUGGGGUUGAUGGUGGGUGUAAGAGGACACAUUAUGGGGUCAAAGAUCAUCCGACAUGGUUGGCACUAUUGUCAUUACUAUCUGUGUCCGUCACUGUGAAUGCUAAUAAUAUCCUGGGUGUUACAACGAUGUAGUAAUCCAAGAUUGUCCAUUUAAUAUGAGCACACAACACUAUAAAGACAUGAAACCCAAAUGCUUCAUACUUUCAUGAACUUGAACAGAAAAUGUUGCACAGUAUAGUGUUAUGGAUGAGUCGGAGCAGAGGAAGGGAGAGGAGCAGAGGAAGGGAGACGAUAACUGGACUGACUGCGCUGAAGAGAUGGUCUUAAAUGUGGUGACCACUAAUACUGUAACCACAACCCAUCGUUUCCAUCCCCUAGAUUACACUAAAAGGUUUAAAGCUACAGUUUGGGAUUGGGGAAGCUUCAAUGGUAAUUUCCUAUAGGAUUCAACCAGACACACAUCAUCAACCGUAAUGAUCUUAAUGACUAUUAACUGGACUUAUGUAUACAGAACCAGUCAAACUUUUGCAAACCUGUCAUCAAGGCAAAGGGUUCAA